AGUCUGACCAGCAGCUGGAAGCCGAGUCCAGAACGAACACUGAGCUCAAACUUCUGAUGUGGAGUUGGAGACGACUUUCAGGAAGUUUUUAAAAGUUUGGUUCAGCUUUUAACAGUUUUUGUUUUCACAUCGUCACCUCUAACGGUGACUGCGUUCACAAGGACACGAGCAGAGGUGGGUGAAAAGAAAAUUACUCAUGGAGAAGUAAAAGUAAAUUUACAUUGUACAGUUUCCAAAUCAUUGUACACAUUUGUGUUACUUAAAGGUCCUGUAAGGGACUUUUGGUUUGUGUCAACUUUGGCGCCCCCUGUGGACAAAACAGUUUUUGCUUAUCUUGUCUUCUACAUGCUUGGAUUGUGACUUCUGACCAUUAAUUUUUUUGUUUAUUUUAAAUAUUUUAUGUGUGAAUUUUAAAAGUUAAACUGUUUUUUCCACUAAUCGCCUGAAACCUACCCCCUCGCGUUAAAAGUUCUCUCUGGUAGUCUUGUUUGCUUUCAGAUAUCAUAAAAGGUUAUCGAUAUUUGUUUUCAGUCUAUUUUAUAAAUGUCAAAAACUCCUCACAGGAGCUUUAAAGUCAAUUACGAUGAACUAGCUUACAAACUAAAGUGGAUAAAUCAAUACAAAACAGUUCUUACCUGACCAUUAGAGUCAGCUGAUCAGACGCAGCCUCUGAUUGGUCAACAGUUUCUUUUCUGCAACACAAACUGCAGCUAAUCUGAAAAAAAAAGAAAAACUUAAACAUGUUCAGAAAAUAUAAUUGGGCCUUUAAAGAUAACAACACAGCAACAGGAAAAAAAAGCAGUUUUUCUCAUGCAUGAAAUAAAAGUGUGCGUGAAAUACGCUGAGCGGCACAAAGCCAAUGAGCAGUAAAGUUUAAUAGUCAUUCUGCAGCGUCCAUCAGAUCCUCCUCCACCUUUAACUGCAUUAAGUUCAAAGUAAAAAUGUCAUUAUAGAACAAACAAGAGCGUGACUGAUGCGAGCAGCUGGUUCCCGCUCUCAGCACAAUAAACAGGCCGUUGCAUGAACUGGAAAGCUUUGUGUGUGUUACAUUGGCUUACCUUGUCGUCAUACCUUCAUGUUUCUUGGCAGGAGGAGAAACAGACUGACAGGAUGAAAAGGAAACACUUUCUGGAUGAAGACUGAGCCACAGUUACCCCACACAGGCGUGCAGGGUGGGCUGUGGAUGAUUGUCAGGUGGGUAGUUUAAAGGUUUGGUGGUUUUAGUACAGUAUUGGAUCGUACUGUAUUAACCAACCUGUAUGAACUGUUUCAUAUCAUGUAUCGUAAAUCAUCUCAUUAUAUUGUGCCCACUCAUAUCAUAUCAUAUCAUAUCACGUCACGUCACGUCAUGUCGUAUUGUAUCAUAUCAUAU
rnacentral:lncRNA from 1 species